UCUCACACAUAUGAUGUAUAGUGGCACAUGAUCGAAUGUCACAACUUUAUAUAUAACAGGAGUUCUAUACAAAAUAAAUAAUUACAUUAUAAGGAGACAACGGUCCAGCAACCCAAAAGUUGACUGGGAGACGACGACCUAGACCUCUCACGAACUCAUCACAGCAUCCUCCAUGAGCGUCAUCCUGCAGUACCUGGUCUUGACCUGUGGUGUAUGUGAGACAGCAAGAGUGAGCUCACAUACGUUCAUCGCUCAACAAGUUGUGGGGAAUAAUGUGCAUGAACUCGCCAAAGGUGGGAGCUCACGUGAAGUGUAAGGCUUACCAAAGAAGAUGGUUAGGGCUGAGCAUUGCUUUUAAAGUUGGUCAAAAUUUUAUUAGCAAUUACUAAGUAUAAGUAAAUACCAACCCAAUUAAGCAGUAGAACAAAAAUAACAACUUCACCUGCUAUGCAAUGCAUAUGACAAAUUGAAUUUAGUUCCAUAAUUUAAUCAUGUGAGUGUCCGAGCCGCUCAUGACCGUGAGCACGGCUAGUAUACCAGUUUUACACUCUGCAGAGGUUGCGCAUCUUUACCCACAAGUCGUGUAUCCCAUGUCGCCAGGGUUUGCAAAGCCCUUAGACACUUCCGAGGUGAAUGGCUAGGGAUCCACUACGAGGCCUUUACAAAGUUCCACUAGCUUCCGAAAACCCGCUACAGUUUAUAGGAAGAUCCAGUACAGGAAUCCCUUGCAGGACCGCCAUCGCAGCAAAAUCCUCCCGAGGGCACUUCCCGCACUGACCUCUCCCCUACUGCCCUUGCCCCUUUCGGGUAAGGUAGUCUUCCACUAGCUUUCCUAAUUAGUCAGCCAAGGGCGUCCCAUUAAACCCUUGUGGUAGCACUGUUUUCCCGGGUGGUUCUCCAUGUUCCAAUUAACAUAAUGAUCUCAAUAUGAACAAUAAAUAAUAACUGAUAACAAAAGUGUAACCAUGAAUAGUGUAUCUCCAUACCCAAAACCACAUAUAGCACUAGCAAGUACUACCCAGAAAGUUCAGUGGUGAACAAGGUAUAAAGAUAGACAAACUAGGGUAACCUAUUGGGUCCCAUCAAAAUUAACCUAUGCAGAUCAUUAUGAUUAAUUAGAACAUGAGUAGGUGAAAAGAAGUGAUCAAGGGCACAACUUGCCUGGGCCUUGAGAUUCCAGGUACCAGGAUGAUCUUCAGGUGACACGUGACCUCACUGCUAGUCGUAGCAUUACAAACAAACAGUGUAUAGACAGAAUUAACAUUACACCAAACAUAUAUGCAAAAUACAUAUUAAUAAUCUACAUGUUAAAAUAAGAUCACAGGAAAAAGAAUUAUUAAUUUUGGAGUUAUAGAUUUUAAGUUAUGGAUUUCCAAAGAUUCUAUGUGCUUAGUACAAGAUUAAUUAAGAUAACAAUUUUAAUGUGACUUUUAUGUAAAACCAGUGGUACUAAUUGAUAAACAAUAGUAUUACAAAAUUAUAGGAAGUGGGAUGGAUUAAUUUGGAGUUCAUAUGCAUUUUCUAUGAAUUAUAUAAAUUCUAGGAAUUAUUUUUAUAUUAAAAACUCAUUUUCUAAUUAAUUUUCCUGAUUUUAUAACUCUCUGGACUGGGCCUCAUUUACUGAAAAGCGCAGGGGCUCUACGCAAGAUUUCCGAGACUCAGGCUACACCCGCACAGGACGGCGGGUUGAAUCCGAGAAAACCCAGGGUUUCUUUUAUAAAACAUACCCGCGAAGGGGUACGGGGUGAUAUAGGCCGUCGGAUUAGAAAUCCAAGGCCCAGAUCAGAACCUGGCUUAAGUGAACCGGUAAGCUCUGGCGGCCGCCCGAUCCGAGAUCUACGGAUCGGAUUUAAAAUACCCGAGGUGGCUUCGAAUGCGUCCGAUCCCCAUCCAACGGUUCGGAUCAUCACACGCGAAGGGGUAUCUUCCUAUUCUAAUCGCAGCCGUUCAUUCGCGGAUCCACGGCCACGGUAACAUCUCCACUCCCCCGACCGGGAGGCCGGCGGCGCACGAGUGUUCCCCCGGCGGCGCCAUGGCCGGCGAAGGGCCGAUUAACGCACGAGCGCACCUAUUUUAAAAUUGACAGGCGCAGAACAGAGAGGAGAGGGUAGCGAACAUAAUGGUGGAUUCCAUACCGAGGAUUAAGCUCCCAGGAGUCCCGUCCACGGCGCACGGCGGUAAUCCGCGGUGGGGCAAGCGACGGCGAGCAAUUCCGGUGUCUUCAACGCUCCUUGGUCAUGGCCACCCCAUCGUGUAUGCUCCACGUGCAACCCCGAAGCCCCAGGCCCACACGCCGAGGAUGAUUCGCCACCGUGGGCGGAGAUCACCGGCGGCGGACGGAGAUGCGGGGAGAAAGCACGGUCCCGAGGAGAGAGAUGUGAAGGAGAGGGGGGUCGCGGCUACGUACUUAUACUCAGGGGGCGCUUCGCGGUUGUUGUACGGGUACCGAGAUCACCGGCGAGCUCGCGGAGUCCGCGCGAUGGUGUUCGUCGCGGCAACAGACUUCGCACAGCACGCGUGGAGUUCGGAAGGAAGACGGAGACGACCCUGACGACGGGGCCCCACGCGACAGCCAGAUGAGAAGUCGGCCGCGCGCGCGUGUGGAGAAGGCGACGAGGCUGACAGGGUGGCCCCGCCGAUCAGCGACGAAGCAGGCGUGUGCGCAAGAGGGGGAGAGACUGCCCCGUGGGACCCAUAUGUCGGCGCCUGGUUGGAGUCUUGGGCUGCGCGUGGGAGGUUUAAUGUGGGCCGAAAUGUGUGGUUGCGGCCCAGUUAGGGUUUUUCUCUUUUUCCAUUUUAUUUUCUAUUUCUUUUCUUCAUUUCCAAGUUAAAUUUGAAUUCAAACUUAAAUUUAAAUCUCUAUGGCUCAUCAUUUCAAUUUAUUUUUGUGAAGUUAGGGAUAUUAAUUCUGAAUAUACUUGUUUAUAUAUAUAUUAUUUAUAUUUUUGUUUUAUAUCCCUUCUCUUUCUCUUAUUUUCUAUUUUCUAUUCCAAAAUCAAAUUUAUACUUCUAUUUUAGUUUUCAGAUUUUUCAAAUGUAUCAAUUGAAAUCCAAAGGUGAAUAUAAACCAUAUUAUUUUAAUAUUACUAAUUUAAGUUUUAUUCUCCUUGUUAUCUAUUUCAUGGGAUGUAUAAAUGGUUUCCUUUGAAAGAUAAAUCCCUUUUCUCAUCAUUUUUCUUAUUUUCCUAAUUUCCAAAGCAUUAUGAUACUUUGUUUAUAUUUUUUUUUCCUACUAAUUUUGGGUCUUACAAAUCCUACCCCCCUUAAAAAUAAUCUCGUCCUCGAGAUUUGUAAGAAAGAGGAUAUAGGAAGAGUGAUUUAAAAUCUAGCUUUUAGUUUCUAAUUAGUUCAAAAUCAAGAGUCUCUUUUUUUUUCAUUAGUAAGUGAUUAGGAGAGCAUGGGUAUAUAUAUGUAUGUCCACUUUAUUAUGUAGAAUAGAAGAUGUCUUUAGGGCAUAUAUAGGUUUGGGUAAGAAAGAGUAGGAUAAGAAAAGACUUCAUCCAAGAUUGUGGAUCUUGACUCAUCUUGGUGACCUCACUUGAUCCUUGAAGACUUGAGUUGAUGCUCAACCUUCCUUGAUGAAGUUGAUCAUCUUCUUCGGUCUUGUCUCAUUGAUUAGGAGUUAGUGUAUAUUAUUGGGCUAGGGAAUAUGGUUAAUAUAGGUAUGGAUGAGAUAGACUACAUGAUGUAGGUCAAAAGUUUGUUUGAUGUUAGGUGGGAAUAGAAAGGUUAUACCAUUCAUCAUGGUUCUAUGGGUUGGGUUAGCUCAUGGUUGAAUUGAUCCAAUGUGCUAAGAUAAGUUAAUACAUGGCUAGUAAGGUCUAAUCUCUUUUUACCUGUAUCAUUAGUCUAAUUAAGUAGGCCACAUUAGAUUAGUUUAGUAGAUGGCUAUGAGUUAAAUGAGAUUAGUCAGAAUCUGGUUUGAUUGUUUUGCUUCUGUAUGGUUUGGAUAGGGUAUGUAACCUAGGUAUGGCUGAACUGAUCUAAGUCAUCAAUUUAGGCUUAAGUGAAUUAGGAGCAUGGCCAUAUCUUUUGCACCAGCAUUAAGUAACACACACUAGAUUAGAUCAUAUUAGGUUAAGUAGGAGCUAGAUUAGAUUGAAUAUGACUAGAUUAGACUAGUUUAGGUUAAAUAGAUCUACUAGGGUAGGAUAAAUAUUAUUAGGAUAUGUUAGAAUCUUUAGAAGUUAGUUAUAUUUAUUAGGACCAGAUAAAAUCUUUUUAAGGUAAGAUGAAUCUAUUAAGGUAAUAGAGUAUACUUUAAGAUAAGAUGGAUCUAUUACACAAGAUUGAAUUUAGGUUAGAUUGGUAUGACUAGUUUGACUAAAUAAGAUCUAAUUAGGUUGCAUUAGAUCAUGGUUGUUUAAUCUAGGGUGGAUAAGUAUGCUUAUUAGGAUAAGACAGAUCCAUAAAGAUAAGAUAGAAUCUUCUGGGGUCAGUUAGAUCUAUUAGGAUGAGAUAAAAUCUUUUCAAGAUAAGAUGAGUAUCUUUUAAGAUGAGAUGGAUCUUAUUAAGAUAAGAGAGAAUCUUUUAAGAUAAGAUGAAUUGGUUUGAAUGAGAUCUUUUAGGAUAAGAUAAAUCUCUUAAGCUAGAUAUGUUCCAAUGGGGAUACACUAGGCUGUCUAGUUAUUUUAUAAAUAUAUUUUAAUACCUAUGUGUAUAUGCAGAUGCAAUUGUGGACAUUACUCCACAACCCAUCACACUCAAUCAAAGAUCCAAAUCAGACAAGUAUCAUAAGAACAAAACAUUCAAAUACAUAAACACUUAAGAAAAUAUUUUUUUUUGAUUUUGUUCCUAAGAGUAGGUCUCCUAUUCCUAAAGUCACUUUAGGCACAGGAUUUCAAAGUGUGAAAUCCACAUUUGUCUUUAGAAAGAAAAGGUAAGAAUAAUCAGAGUAGAGCGGAAAUAGAUGAGAAAAGAUUAAGAAAAGUUUAGAAAGAAUCAGAGUAGGGUAAGUAGAUAAUGGUUGGCCAGUUCUAUCUAGGUUUCGUCCUACAGUCAACAUUCCUCUGAUACCACUUCUGUAACACCCGGAUUUUAGGGGUCCAAAACCCGGGCGCUAACAUAAACACCAGGUAUGCUGGGACCAAGUCUCACACAUAUGAUGUAUAGUGGCACAUGAUCGAAUGUCACAACUUUAUAUAUAACAGGAGUUCUAUACAAAAUAAAUAAUUACAUUAUAAGGAGACAACGGUCCAGCAACCCAAAAGUUGACUGGGAGACGACGACCUAGACCUCUCACGAACUCAUCACAGCAUCCUCCAUGAGCGUCAUCCUGCAGUACCUGGUCUUGACCUGUGGUGUAUGUGAGACAGCAAGAGUGAGCUCACAUACGUUCAUCGCUCAACAAGUUGUGGGGAAUAAUGUGCAUGAACUCGCCAAAGGUGGGAGCUCACGUGAAGUGUAAGGCUUACCAAAGAAGAUGGUUAGGGCUGAGCAUUGCUUUUAAAGUUGGUCAAAAUUUUAUUAGCAAUUACUAAGUAUAAGUAAAUACCAACCCAAUUAAGCAGUAGAACAAAAAUAACAACUUCACCUGCUAUGCAAUGCAUAUGACAAAUUGAAUUUAGUUCCAUAAUUUAAUCAUGUGAGUGUCCGAGCCGCUCAUGACCGUGAGCACGGCUAGUAUACCAGUUUUACACUCUGCAGAGGUUGCGCAUCUUUACCCACAAGUCGUGUAUCCCAUGUCGCCAGGGUUUGCAAAGCCCUUAGACACUUCCGAGGUGAAUGGCUAGGGAUCCACUACGAGGCCUUUACAAAGUUCCACUAGCUUCCGAAAACCCGCUACAGUUUAUAGGAAGAUCCAGUACAGGAAUCCCUUGCAGGACCGCCAUCGCAGCAAAAUCCUCCCGAGGGCACUUCCCGCACUGACCUCUCCCCUACUGCCCUUGCCCCUUUCGGGUAAGGUAGUCUUCCACUAGCUUUCCUAAUUAGUCAGCCAAGGGCGUCCCAUUAAACCCUUGUGGUAGCACUGUUUUCCCGGGUGGUUCUCCAUGUUCCAAUUAACAUAAUGAUCUCAAUAUGAACAAUAAAUAAUAACUGAUAACAAAAGUGUAACCAUGAAUAGUGUAUCUCCAUACCCAAAACCACAUAUAGCACUAGCAAGUACUACCCAGAAAGUUCAGUGGUGAACAAGGUAUAAAGAUAGACAAACUAGGGUAACCUAUUGGGUCCCAUCAAAAUUAACCUAUGCAGAUCAUUAUGAUUAAUUAGAACAUGAGUAGGUGAAAAGAAGUGAUCAAGGGCACAACUUGCCUGGGCCUUGAGAUUCCAGGUACCAGGAUGAUCUUCAGGUGACACGUGACCUCACUGCUAGUCGUAGCAUUACAAACAAACAGUGUAUAGACAGAAUUAACAUUACACCAAACAUAUAUGCAAAAUACAUAUUAAUAAUCUACAUGUUAAAAUAAGAUCACAGGAAAAAGAAUUAUUAAUUUUGGAGUUAUAGAUUUUAAGUUAUGGAUUUCCAAAGAUUCUAUGUGCUUAGUACAAGAUUAAUUAAGAUAACAAUUUUAAUGUGACUUUUAUGUAAAACCAGUGGUACUAAUUGAUAAACAAUAGUAUUACAAAAUUAUAGGAAGUGGGAUGGAUUAAUUUGGAGUUCAUAUGCAUUUUCUAUGAAUUAUAUAAAUUCUAGGAAUUAUUUUUAUAUUAAAAACUCAUUUUCUAAUUAAUUUUCCUGAUUUUAUAACUCUCUGGACUGGGCCUCAUUUACUGAAAAGCGCAGGGGCUCUACGCAAGAUUUCCGAGACUCAGGCUACACCCGCACAGGACGGCGGGUUGAAUCCGAGAAAACCCAGGGUUUCUUUUAUAAAACAUACCCGCGAAGGGGUACGGGGUGAUAUAGGCCGUCGGAUUAGAAAUCCAAGGCCCAGAUCAGAACCUGGCUUAAGUGAACCGGUAAGCUCUGGCGGCCGCCCGAUCCGAGAUCUACGGAUCGGAUUUAAAAUACCCGAGGUGGCUUCGAAUGCGUCCGAUCCCCAUCCAACGGUUCGGAUCAUCACACGCGAAGGGGUAUCUUCCUAUUCUAAUCGCAGCCGUUCAUUCGCGGAUCCACGGCCACGGUAACAUCUCCACUCCCCCGACCGGGAGGCCGGCGGCGCACGAGUGUUCCCCCGGCGGCGCCAUGGCCGGCGAAGGGCCGAUUAACGCACGAGCGCACCUAUUUUAAAAUUGACAGGCGCAGAACAGAGAGGAGAGGGUAGCGAACAUAAUGGUGGAUUCCAUACCGAGGAUUAAGCUCCCAGGAGUCCCGUCCACGGCGCACGGCGGUAAUCCGCGGUGGGGCAAGCGACGGCGAGCAAUUCCGGUGUCUUCAACGCUCCUUGGUCAUGGCCACCCCAUCGUGUAUGCUCCACGUGCAACCCCGAAGCCCCAGGCCCACACGCCGAGGAUGAUUCGCCACCGUGGGCGGAGAUCACCGGCGGCGGACGGAGAUGCGGGGAGAAAGCACGGUCCCGAGGAGAGAGAUGUGAAGGAGAGGGGGGUCGCGGCUACGUACUUAUACUCAGGGGGCGCUUCGCGGUUGUUGUACGGGUACCGAGAUCACCGGCGAGCUCGCGGAGUCCGCGCGAUGGUGUUCGUCGCGGCAACAGACUUCGCACAGCACGCGUGGAGUUCGGAAGGAAGACGGAGACGACCCUGACGA
rnacentral:lncRNA from 1 species